GCCCAGACUCCUACGGGAGGCAGCAGUGGGGGAUAUUGCACAAUGGGGGAAACCCUGAUGCAGCGACGCCGCGUGAGUGAAGAAGUAUUUCGGUAUGUAAAGCUCUAUCAGCAGGGAAGAAAAAAGACGGUACCUGACUAAGAAGCCCCGGCUAACUACGUGCCAGCAGCCGCGGUAAUACGUAGGGGGCAAGCGUUAUCCGGAUUCACUGGGUGUAAAGGGAGCGUAGACGGCGACGCAAGUCUGGAGUGAAAGCCCGGGGCCCAACCCCGGGACUGCUCUGGAAACUGCGUCGCUGGAGUACGGGAGGGGCAGGCGGAAUUCCUGGUGUAGCGGUGAAAUGCGUAGAUAUCAGGAGGAACACCGGUGGCGAAGGCGGCCUGCUGGACUGCGACUGACGUUGAGGCCCGAAAGCGUGGGGAGCGAACAGGAUUAGAUACCCCGGUA
rnacentral:rRNA from 1 species